GACCCACUUUCAAAUGGAGACAUUAAUUGGUUUCACUAGAGGUGAGUGACAAUUCGUCUAUAUCAAAAAGAGCCUAAUCAUUUGCUGCCCUUCUUGAUUGGUGGACUAGCAUAUAGGGAUGUUAUGGUUAUGGAGACCCCGCUUCAAGGCCUACGAGGCCCUAGGCAGUUGCCUACUCUGCCUUUAGGUAGAGCCAGCCCUGAAUACAGCCUAUAUGUAAAUUUACCUGUUGAAUUGACCUCUCAUUGGAGGAGAGUGGUACUAGGCGUGUCAGUGGGGAAUGCUGUUAUGAAAUGCUGAUAAACCACAUAUUUGAAUGCUUUUAUUCAACAGAUCAACCACUUAUGGGAAAUUUGCAAAACGUAUAUGCAGGCAUUUGGAUGUCUAUGACAGAGUAUGUGUUGUUGUUAUCUGCUGUUGAAGGUGUAGUUCCUGGCACACUUUAGUUUCUGCUAAAAUCUUUAAAAAAAAACGGUAAUCAAGGCUGCAUCUACAUGCCAAAGCAUGUGAAAGUUUAAGGUGUAUUAAAGUAAGGUUGAAAUUGUAAUUCAGUAGGGUGGAAGAUCUAAAAGAAAGCACACACCUGCCAAUACACCUAAUUAAACUCAAUGUUUCAUUAUCAACUUUAAGAGGUGUGUUAGAACAACAUACAAGAACUGGAAAUACCUGCGUAAUUUAAAAUUAAGGGAAGUGCUGCCCAAUUAUAUGUUUAAUGAAGGCAGGUGCAGACAUAGGAUAGCAGUCAUCUGUUAUCAGAUCAGAUCAUGCAUUUGAAAUUGGCAGCAGAGUCACUUGACACGAACACAGUAUUUGAGAUAUAUUUAAGAAGGGAAUGAGUGUGACUUCUGAGUGUGAAUUCUGCUCAACUGCAGUGUUGAACUUCACUGUUAAAAGGUAAGACUACUAUCUAUUGUCCAUAGCCUAUGACACAGAUUUGCACUAUUAAUAGAACAAAUUUGAAUAUUUUUUUUUUUUACAUUAUUAAUAUAAUUUUUUUUUAUUUGAAAGACAACAGUCAGGAUGCUUUAAGACAUCAUGACAUAUUUCUUUAACACUGUCUUAUGCAUGCAGAUGAAUGCAGCUUGUGCCAUUUCUCAUCGCCUGUCUACUAUCCACUGUUUAUAGUGAAGGCUCAGUAGAAUUCUGCUAUACCUUGCCAGAAUGCAAUGCAACCACAUGGCCUACUAUAGCACCACUCUAUUGCAAUGGCACUCGUCAGUCUCCUAUCAAUAUUGUGACUGCUGAUGUGAAGACUGAUGGUACCCUGACAGCCUUCAGCUUCAAUGGCUUUAAUGACAGCUCCACCUUCAUAAACAUUGACAACACUGGAAAGUCAGGUGAGGUCUUUUUGUAAGAUGACUCAGGUUUGUAACAUGAGACAAUGUUCCUUCUUGGUCCAGGUUGACUUUUUAUUAAACCUGUGUUGCUUUUUUGCUUGUUUGUUGUUGUUACUCUUUUAACCCCUAGUGGGGCAAACUUUCAGUGGCAAACCAAUCCUUAUUGGUGCAACCCACCCACAGUUUCAAAGACAAGUUUUAAACACA